rnacentral:lncRNA from 1 species
UGGAGGACAAGUGUGGGCUGCCGGUGGGUUCUUGUUUUUUUUCGUGGGAAGGAAAAUGCUUCUGCUAGGCAGAUAGAUGCCAUAUGCGCUGUGUACUCAGGUUUUUCCUAUUUAUUGUGGACGGGAAGCUCGCCAUCUCCGCCCCGCGGACGCCGGCCCGGGGCCUAAGGAACUCCUGCUCUCUCGCCACAAUCCUUUUGUCCCCUCGCUCUCUGAAUGGCUCCCUCCCCCUCCCCCACUUCCCCGUUUCUCUGCCUGUAGUUUUCUUUCCCCGUCGCUUUGUCACAGACCGUACCCCUCCCCACCCCCCGCGCUGGCCCAGUUUCUCUUUUGCCCCUCCCUCCUCUGUCUCUCCAUCUAUCACCCUCUGUGUCUCUGUCUCCGUCCCUUGCUCUCCAGCCUCUCCUGGUCUUUUGGUUCCUCGCCCCGCUUCUGCCCCUUUCAAUCCGACUGCAGUGUCCCUUUGCAGAUCUGGAGGUCCAGGAGCUGGGGGUGGGUGGGGAGGGAGCCCUCUCCCACCCAGUAUCCCUCACCCAGCUGGAACCUUGGGUCUGUGGGAGACAAGCAAAAGAAGAAAAAAGACCACCCAAAGAAGGGUUUUUUGGUUGUUUGUUUUCAAGGGGGGGAUAUCCCAGAAAUGUAGCUUGUUUAAUAUUUUAGGCCUCUUAUUUUUGUAAGAUGUGUAGAAUUUGCUGUUUUUCUUUUGACAACUCAGGAAGAAACUGACCUCAGAAAGAAUGUUAGAUUUUGGCUGCUCUCCUGUGUGUGUCCCACGGCCCCACCCCUUCAUCCCUAGGGAAGCAAAUUCUCCCAAAAGACUCAAAAGUGAAACCUGUGGAGAAGGGGCGAGGGAGACCUAGAGGCCUCGCCUAAACCCCUGUGCUUCUUGAGACAGAAGCAGAAUGUAUUGCCAGGGCUUCUUCCUCUGCUCCAAGGGUACAGGUGGGGGUGAGAGGGAUGGGGUUGUGGAAUGUGAGCAGAGGUGGGACUCGCUCACUUCCUGCUGCUCUUCCCAAGCUUAGGAGGGUGUUUUCUGUGGAGGGCUGGUUAUCCGGGCUUGGGGAUGCCCUUGCCACUGCCUGCCCCAGACCCAGAAAGUUGGCAGAGAGGGCCCAGGUGAGGAGAUGACGCAGGCAGAGAGUCCUCAGAAAGAUCAUCUCACCUGGCCCUGGCCCAGGCAGAAGUCCCCUGUAACCUAAGGCUAAGAGGAUUUCCCCCGAAGGGCAGGUGGUCUGGCCACAAGUCUGGUUGGGCACAAAAUGGGCUCAGCUUGCCUGGUCUGGUGGGAGGCCCUGAGGAGGGGGUCAGUGGUGGGUGUCCCUUACAAGAUAGGUUUCUGUGGGGAUUUGUUCGUCUUCCAUUCUGCCAGGGUCCUAAGUCUAGAGCUCCAGGGGUUAGGAGGCAGUGGAGGAGAUGGGCAGGCUGUUUUCCCUGAAUACACGUUGGGGGUGUGUUUCUCCCCCUCCCCCCACCGCUUUCCACAGGAAGCCCAGGCCCAUCGCCCUGUUCCUCUCCUCCCCAUCACCUUGCCCUUGAUGGGGCUUCUGCAGGUUGCCCCUCGCCCUCAGGGAGCCCAUUUCACAACUCUGCCCUGUGGUCUAAAGGCAGGGGGGACAAGCCGCCAACCCCCCUCCCUCCCACCCCAGCCGCCCUUCCUGUCGCCACCCCCCCCACCUCCUGCAGUCUCUGAACCACCUCCCACUCCCAGCUGGAAGGAAGGCCUUCAUGGGGGACAUUUCAGGUGCCAAGGUGCUGAGGGCCGGCGCUGGCCUCGGAGUGCUACCAGGAAAGCUGCUCAUUUUCUCCCCUUUUCCCCCUUGGUCCCUGGCCUUCCUCUCCUUGGAGCGGGCCGGUUGCAGGGCUUUGGUGUCUCAGAAGCAGUGGGCGCAGGGUCUGGGGGAAGCAGGGAGCGAGCAGGUUCUCUCAGGUGUGUAUGUGUAUUUUGCGGGGGGGUGGAGGGCGUUGGGGAGGUGGGGUUGGGAUCCCAGCCUUCCCUUCAAAGGGCAGGCAGCUCUGGGGGCUGGGGGGAAGCGCUCACCAACCGGCACCCAGGGCCCCCACCGCCGCCUCUCCUGGCCUUGGGGAGCUUUGCACAAGAGACAGCCCCCAAUCUGCCAGCACCUACCUCACGGGCACUGGGGCGGGCGGGGGAAGGGCAGGUCCAGCUCCGGCAGUGCUGAGGGAGCAUACCAAAGAAUCCGGGGGCAGGGGUGGGGUGAGGGCAAGCUGGCCCUCUCCUUCCUCUACCCAGAUUGGGGUUGGGGUCCUCUCCUCCAGCUGUAACCAUUUCUACCUCAUUUUGCUGCGUGUUGUACGUGGAUGUAUUUAUCUCCUGUCUGACGAUGCUCUGCAGUUUGGUCCGUCUACCUCAGAAGAGACUGUAUUUUAAAAGAAAGUAUUACACAGUAUUAAAGCGAUGACACGU